rnacentral:lncRNA from 10 species
CUGAGGUUGAUAACAGCAGAGUGCCUCUUAGUUGCCACUGGUUGCUUUGCCGUUCUCAGUUUUCACAGUUUAUUUAAAGGUGGAUUUUUGUCUAACGCAAUCAUGAACGGUGAUGGGAAGAACAGGCUGAGCAGCUGUUGACUGAAAUAACAGAGGGGAGGACGGGUAUCUGGAAAUGCUCCACACAAGUUGUCCUGCAAGCUUUGAUGAUGACGUUCGCAUAGAAAAUUAUUGGUCAGAACCAGGAAGUGGAGCAGGCUUCAUGCCAGUAAGGCUAGCUUGGCAAAGCCUCAGAGGAAAUGCUGUCAUUCUCCACCAGAAGUCUACUCUUCCAUCUGCUCUGUUGAUGCCAUUCUCUCCAGCCUAGUCAGAAACACCAUCACCUAAUUCAGUGGUCCCCAACCUUUUUGGCACCAGGGACCAGUUUUGUGGAAGACAAUUUUUCCGUGGACCAGGGGGGUUGGGGGAGAUAGUUUCAGAGGCAUUAGAUUCUCAUACGGAGUGCACAACCUGGAUCCCUCACAUGCACAAUUCACAAUAGGAUUCGCGAUCCUAUGAGAAUUGAAUGCUGCCAUUGAUCUGACAGAAGGCAGAAUUCAGGCAGUAAUGCUCGCUUGUCCCCUGCUCACCUCCUGCAGUAUGGCCUGGUUCUGGUCCAUGGCCCAGGGGUUGGGGACCCUUGACCUAAAUCAUCACUCUUUAUAGAAUGUUACAUCUCUCUUUUCCCAGGGGCAUCUUUCCCUUUGCCUUCAAAACUGCACACCUUCAUCUGAAUAAUGAUUAAACUCUGCUGCUCACCAUUAAAAUGGGCUGAUUGCUCCAAGCAGUAUCUAGAAAGAAACUGUUUCUAGUUCUUCACCCCUAAUCAUUUUUCUAGAUUUUUGCAAAGAAUAAUCAUUAAAUAUUUCAUAUGUAUAAAAAAAUAAAGAAUAGUUUAUAUAGUAUACUUUAUGUCAGAGUUUGUUUCCUGUUGUUAUAAUAGAACACCUGGGCUGGGUGUGGUGGCUCACACCCGUAAUCCCAACACUUUGGGAGCCCGAGGCAGGCAGAUCACCUGAGGUCAGGAGUUUGAGACCAGCCUGGCCAACAUGGUGGAACCCUGCCUCUACUAAAAAUACAAAAAAAAAAAAAACACACACACACACACACACAGAAAAACAAUUAGCCAGGUGUGGAGACGGGCACCUGUAAUCCCGUCAGAGGCUGAGGCAGGAGAAUUGCUUGAACCUGGGAGGCAGAGGUUGCAUUCAACAGAGAUUGUGCCAUUGCACUCCAGCCUGGGCAACAAGAGCAAGACUCUGUCUCAAGAAACAAAACAAAACAAAACAAAACAAAAACACUUGACACUGGGUAGUUUAUAAAGAAGAUAGGUUUAUUUGGCUCAUGAUUCUGGAGGCUGAGAAGUCCAAGAAGCAUAGCACUGACAUCUGCUUGGCUUUGGUGAGGACCUCAAGCUGAAUCAAAACAUAACAGAGAAGAGGAAGGGGAAGUGGGAGCAUGCAAAGGGCAUGAGAGGCAGCCUCACUUUGUAGCAACCUGUUCUCAGGCAACUAGUCCAUUCUCAAGAAAACUAACCCAGUCUCUUGAGAAAGACAGUCUAUCUUUUCGACCUAAUCACCUCUUAAAGGUACCACCUUCCAACACUGUUACAUUGGCAAUUAAAUUUCCACAUGAGUUUUGUGAAGGAUAAACUACAUCUAAGCCAUAGCACUCUGUUAAUUGAUUAACUGAAUUCAUUCACUCACUCAUUCAUUCAUUCAAAGGUGUAAUAAAGAUUCUUGUGCUUACUACUCAAUAAAGUAUUAGAAAUCAAACAUUAUUCGAUCAAUUGUGGCUCUCAAUAUCAUUCUCCUCCUUGCCACAUGGAAAGAACAACUCUCUUGAUUUGGUGUUUCUCAUUCCUAUGCAUUGCCUUAUACAUUUGCUACAUACUUAUUCUAAAACACAACUUAUUAUGAAACUUCAAAUAAAUGGGACUAUGCCUAUAUAGCCUUCUGCAAAUUAUUUUUAUGUAAUAUUUUGUAUCUUGAGAUAUACCCAUGUCGAUAGGUAUAUUUUUCUCCUGAAUUGCAUUCCAUUGUUUUUUGUGUAUCUACUCAUGCACACAAACACAUACAUACAUACAAGGGUCCCAUUUAUAAUCCAUUCUCCUGGGGUUAUAAAUUUAGAUAUUGUAAAACAAUGUGUGCAGUUUCUUUUUUCCAUGAAUAUUCUUGUUUGUUCUUUCUUAUGAACACAUGUGAGAGCUACUUCAGGGUAGAGAUAUGGAGUGGAAUUGCUGGGUCGCUUGAACAAAUAAAUGUGAACAACACUGUGAUUGCCACCUUGGUCUACAGAACCGCCUUGGAAAUACAGAGCCCACUUGGUGGCUGUAAAAUAAAAAAUAAAGCGGGAGGAGAUAAUAUGUCAUGAUGGUAUAAUUAUGGUGGGAAACAAAACACAAAUCUUAAUUUCAAAUCUGUGUAGUAAUCGUUAUACCCAGCUUCCAUUGGCAUAUUGAAAGACAUUGAAAUCCAAAAGCUAGAUUUCAAGAUUUGGCUUCCAACUAAGGUAUUUUAAAUUAGAAAACAUGGUUUGUGCAUCAGAUUUUUUUAAGUACCUUUGCCCAUCUCUCUGUUCUUUUUAUUUUAAAAACCAGUGAACUCUUUUCUUGUUAACCUACCCAGCACAAGCUUGGCAAAAUAAUUCCAGAGGACAUGUGUUACUCUCAUGAUUGGGGUCCAAAUUAGUCUAAAUUAACCUGCCGUGGCAGUCUGCAAAUUCCUUUCCCUACCCUGAGCAGUUUUUUUCCUCUGCUCAACUAUGGUAACUAACAACUGUGCAAUGGUUCUGAAACCAAAACCACAAUUGCAGUACUUAUAUUUAGACCAUUGCCUUGUGUUGCCAAUUUAGAAAAGAUGUGGUUAAACCAACAGUCGCUUCGACUGCUGGCAUUUCUCAUGUUUUAAAUUAAAAAUAAGUCGAUUCUUCUUCUAUAACAAAAUUAAUUUGCCAUUGACACACGAGUUAAAUGACACAUUCAUCAAGAUACUUCUCACCAAUAUAACAAACUGAGCAUCUUACCCUAAAAGCCUCAUGGGAGAGUAAUUUGCCAAUAUUUAGUACUUAUUCUGUUUCAGUGAUUCCAGCAAAUAUAAAAAAAACUAUUUUAAAGUUUUACAAAAAUUUGCUGAUGGUGAGAUUAAUUAUAUAACUGGCAUUAAUAUUUGACAGUUUUCAUAUGUUCUGAAGACACUCUAACCAAAGGAGAAAAGUCAAAACACGUUGAGAUGCCUAGUGGAAAUGAGAUUUCCUGUGAAAAAUAAAUAGCACUGAUUUAUUUUUGUCUUGCCUAUCAGUAUGUAUUAAUGGACACAGGAAGGUAUCGGGGGAAAUGUUGAGACAUCCAUAAACAAAGAUGUGAAGACUUUUCUAUCUAGAACCUUCUGAAGAAUGGAUAGAUGUGUUGCUGUUAUUCCCACCACAGUACACAAAAACGUUGGAAAUGUACCUUUUCCUUAGAAUUGUUCUGGAUAAAUUUUUCAGAAGAAGCCUACAAUCUGUGGAGACACACAAUCUCUCGCAUGUCAUAAGCCAUAUUAUAAGUUUAAUGUCCUAUGGAUUUAAUAGAGACAAUCUAUGUAUUAGCCAGUUGGUGACAGAAAAUAAUAGCAAUUGAUUUGCAGCAAGAAGAAGGAGGUAUUUUUAGAAGAAACUUUUCUCUGUGUUAAGAAAUACAGCCAAGCAGUUGAGAAAAGAUUUUUAAUAAAGAUCUGUUGAAGUCAC